CCGAGUGCGGGUCCUUUGGGCCCAACCUCCCAUCCGUGUCUAUUGUACCCUGUUGCUUCGGCGGGCCCGCCGCUUGUCGGCCGCCGGGGGGGCGCCUCUGCCCCCCGGGCCCGUGCCCGCCGGAGACCCCAACACGAACCCUGUCUGAAAGCGUGCAGUCUGAGUCGAUUGUUUGCAAUCAGUUA
rnacentral:misc_RNA from 1 species